rnacentral:rRNA from 1 species
UCGGGAAUAUUGCGCAAUGGAGGAAACUCUGACGCAGUGACGCCGCGUGCAGGAAGAAGGUUUUCGGAUUGUAAACUGCUUUAGACAGGGACGAAAAAAAUGACGGUACCUGUAGAAUAAGCUCCGGCUAACUACGUGCCAGCAGCCGCGGUAAUACGUAGGGAGCAAGCGUUAUCCGGAUUUAUUGGGUGUAAAGGGUGCGUAGACGGAAAUGCAAGUUAGUUGUGAAAUACCCCGGCUUAACUGGGGAACUGCAACUAAAACUAUAUUUCUUGAGUACUGGAGGGGAAAGCGGAAUUCCUAGUGUAGCGGUGAAAUGCGUAGAUAUUAGGAAGAACACCGGUGGCGAAGGCGGCUUUCUGGACAGUAACUGACGUUGAGGCACGAAAGUGUGGGGAGC